CACGGAAACAGCACUAAUUGAGAAAGGUCAACUAAAAGAAGGAUUAUUUAUAAAGUAAUCCAGUUCUUAGUCUUCACGACAAUUAAGAUGUAAGUAACAAAAACAAACCAACUAAUCCAGACAUUACCUUGCUGAGUGGUCCUCAUCAUCUGUUGGUAAGGUUUGUACCAAUCUGGGAAUCAUAACUCCCCUAAAAAUGCUUCUGAUUAUGUUAUGUUGCUUAACAGGGGAAAUUGUUAGUCUUCUGAAGAGUGAAAUGAAGUUCGUAAGAAUUAUCUGGAAAUUGUAUGUAAUUUUCUUUUCCUUAAGUCCUGUUACUGUUACAGAGCUUCUCACAGCUGGCUCUAAACUACCAGUGGAAAUUAGUAUUUUCUGUUCUUUAUCUUGUUAUAUAAUACAGGAACUGUCUUCUGUGUGGUUGUUCCCAGCACUGCUGUUUAUAGUAUGCACUGAUGUUGUUGUUCCUGUGGACGUUUAACUUAAAGCAGUUCUGUGGUUUGUAUGUGGUGCAUUUUACCAAAAUCAUGUCUUCGGGAUAACAGUAUUUCACAAACUCCUUCUUGUGAUGGCUGCAGCUAUUUGUUUCUCCUUACCAUGAAUAGAAACAUAAUGUUAAUUAACUUCUCUUCAAAAUGCAUAUUAGUCAUUACUAUUGCAUUCCAGCUGAGUACAGAUUCUGUUCUCCUGGCACAUCUCUUUCUUCAGAAGGUAAGUGUGGACAUUUUAAAAACUAUUUUUUAUUAUGCAUAGUACAUAUUCAGUAACGUCAAACCUCCUUGUCAUGUUGUUCCUGUUGCGUGAAAAUUGUUCCUGGCUAAGUGUUGUCUGCCCUUCUUCUCACACAAGCUUUGAGUCCUCUUCUGGUGGCCUGUCAUCAUCAGAAAGUCUUGGAAAGUUUUUAAUAGAAGUGUCAGAGUGACAGAGCACUGAAACAUGUUGCCCAGAGAAGUUGUGGAGUCUCCUUCUAUGGAGUAAUAUAAACCUAGAAACCAUGCAAUCAACUGGGAGGGACAUGCAGAGCACCUUGCUGCUGGAUGAGAAAGAGGCUGUGGGUCCAUGCCCCCCAAGCAGGUGGUGAUGUCUAUGUCUGUCUGGCCCGAGACCGCUGAGUGAGGAAUGGCAGAAUGAAUUCCUACUGUUGUGUAGUACACCUCCCUUCCCUCUCCUCACAACUGUACGUAUGUAUAGAUAUAAAAGUGUGUGUUUAGAUGCAUAGGUUUUCAUUCAGCUUCACAGUUCUAUUCCGUGCUGGCUCUCCCUCAGCACUUCAUGCUUGCUUUAGUUUCAUUGUGGGUAUGGACUACAAAAACACACGAGUAUUUCUUUUGCUGUUUCUUAAAUGCAAACACAGUAAAGUCUUCUUUGGAGUUAUGUUUACAGCUAUUCAGAGAGAACUUCUCUUGUGUUCUGCUGGAUAUUUUUUGUUGCUGCUUCGCUCUGAGAUUUAGAGUCCAUUUUGUUUUUCACAAAGACCCAUUCUGAAUUUCCAACAAGUAAAAAUAUGCUGUUAACAAUUAACAUGGAAAAGGCUGUUCUAAAUUUGUAUUGGGAACAAUUUUGGUGCUUGUAACCAUCCCAUGUAUUAUAUUUUUAAUUUCCAUCUGGC
rnacentral:lncRNA from 1 species